rnacentral:rRNA from 1 species
UACAGAGGUCUCAAGCGUUGUUCGGAUUCAUUGGGCGUAAAGGGUGCGUAGGCGGCGCGGUAAGUCGGGUGUGAAAGCCCUGGGCUCAACCCAGGAAGUGCACUCGAAACUGUCAGGCUUGAAUAUGGAAGAGGGUCGCGGAAUUCCCGGUGUAGAGGUGAAAUUCGUAGAUAUCGGGAGGAACACCAGUGGCGAAGGCGGCGACCUGGGCCAAUAUUGACGCUGAGGUGCGAAAGCGUGGGGAGCAAACAGG